rnacentral:rRNA from 1 species
GUGUGAUGGACUGCCUUUUGCAUAAUGAGCCUGCGAGUUGUGGUGUCUGGCGAGGUUAAGGAAACCCGGAGCCGUAGCGAAAGCGAGUCUUAAUAGGGCGUUUAGUCAGAUGCUGCAGACCCGAAACGAUGUGAUCUAUCCAUGAGCAGGUUGAAGCCGGUGUAAGAGCCGGUGGAGGACCCAACCCGCUGGCGUUGAAAAGCCAUGGGAUGACUUGUGGAUAGGGGUGAAAGGUCAAUCAAACAUCGUGAUAGCUGGUUCUCUCCGAAAUAUAUUUAGGUAUAGCGUCAUGUAGUAACACUGGGGGGUAGAGCACUGAAUGGGCUAGGGCAUACACCAAUGUACCAAACCCUAUCAAACUCCGAAUACCUAGUGUGUAAUCAUGGCAGUCAGGCGGCGAGUGAUAAAAUCCGUCGUCGAGAGGGGAACAACCCAGACUAACAGCUAAGGUCCCUAAAUCUCAUUUAAGUGGAAAACGAUGUGGAGUUACUUAAACAACCAGGAGGUUGGCUUAGAAGCAGCCAUCCUUUAAAGAAAGCGUAAUAGCUCACUGGUCUAGUGAUUCUGCGCGGAAAAUAUAACGGGGCUAAAAUGAGUACCGAAGCUUUAGACUUAGUUUUACUAAGUGGUAGGAGAGCGUUGCAUUCAGCGUCGAAGGUGUACCGGUAAGGAGCGCUGGAGCGAAUGCAAGUGAGCAUGCAGGCAUGAGUAGCGAUAAUUGGGGUGAGAAUCCCCAACGCCGUAAACCCAAGGUUUCCUACGCGAUGCUCGUCAUCGUAGGGUUAGCCGGGUCCUAAGCAAAGUCCGAAAGGGGUAUGCGAUGGAAAAUUGGUUAAUAUUCCAAUGCCAACUAUAAUGUGCGAUGGAAGGACGCUUAGAGUUAAGCAAGCUAGCGGAUGGUAGUGCUAGUCGAAAGGUGUAGGUUAAGAUCCAGGCAAAUCCGGAUCUUUUUAAGCCGAGACCCCACAGGCGUUUGAAGUUCUUCGGAAUGGAUAGCGAAUUGCUGAUACUGUCGAGCCAAGAAAAGUUUCUAAGUUUAGUUAUAGUUGCCCGUACCGUAAACCGACACAGGUGGGUGGGAUGAGUAUUCUAAGGCGCGUGGAAGAACUCUCUUCAAGGAACUCUGCAAAAUAGCACCGUAUCUUCGGUAUAAGGUGUGCCUAACUUUGUGAAGGAUUUACUCCGUAAGCAUUGAAGGUUACAACAAAGAGUCCCUCCCGACUGUUUACCAAAAACACAGCACUCUGCUAACUCGUAAGAGGAUGUAUAGGGUGUGACGCCUGCCCGGUGCUCGAAGGUUAAUUGAUGACGUUAGCUCUGCGAAGCGUUUGAUCGAAGCCCGAGUAAACGGCGGCCGUAACUAUAACGGUCCUAAGGUAGCGAAAUUCCUUGUCGAUUAAAUAUCGACCUGCAUGAAUGGCGUAACGAGAUGGGAGCUGUCUCGAAGAGGGAUCCAGUGAAAUUGUAGUGGAGGUGAAAAUUCCUCCUACCCGCGGCAAGACGGAAAGACCCCGUGGACCUUUACUACAGCUUGACACUGCUAUUGGGAUAAAAAUGUGCAGGAUAGGUGGGAGGCUUUGAUCCAUAGACGCCAGUUUAUGGUGAGCCGUUGUUGAGAUACCACUCUUUUUUAUUCUGAUAGCUAACUAGCUUGAGUUAUCCUCAAGUAGGACAAUGUCUGGUGGGUAGUUUGACUGGGGCGGUCGCCUCCCAAAAUGUAACGGAGGCUUACAAAGGUUGGCUCAGAACGGUUGGAAAUCGUUCGCAGAGUAUAAAGGCAAAAGCCAGCUUAACUGCGAGACAUACACGUCAAGCAGGGACGAAAGUCGGUCUUAGUGAUCCGGUGGUUCUGUGUGGAAGGGCCAUCGCUCAAAGGAUAAAAGGUACCCCGGGGAUAACAGGCUGAUCUCCCCCAAGAGCUCACAUCGACGGGGAGGUUUGGCACCUCGAUGUCGGCUCAUCGCAUCCUGGGGCUGGAGCAGGUCCCAAGGGUAUGGCUGUUCGCCAUUUAAAGCGGUACGCGAGCUGGGUUCAGAACGUCGUGAGACAGUUCGGUCCCUAUCUGCCGUGGGCGUAAGAAGAUUGAGGAGAGUUGACCCUAGUACGAGAGGACCGGGUUGAACCGACCACUGGUGUACC